rnacentral:lncRNA from 1 species
GUGGUUUUUCGAGUGUUAUACCCCAGUUACCAAUGCGAAGCCAGUUGUCCUUUGCCCCUAGAGCAUCAAAGGAUAUCCCCUACAGUUACAGAUACCCUCCGAUGACCAAAAAGCCAAUGUGGUGGUGGAGAACCUUAGCAUGCCUCCCCUACUUGAUGCCUCUUCACGAGACUUGGAUGUAUGCUGAGACAGCUUAUCAUCUCCACCCCUUCUUGGAAGAUUUUGAGUUUCUGACAUACCCGUUCCUGGGAGCUAUUGGGAGGUUACCGAGCUGGUUCUUAAUGGCAUACUUCUUUGUUGCUUAUCUUGGUAUAGUGAGGAGAAAGGAAUGGCCUCAUUUCUUCAGGUUUCAUGUGGUGAUGGGAAUGCUACUUGAGAUUUCCCUGCAGGUUGUUG